AAAGGGGAAUUAAAUGAAAAUCAAAUCAAAACUAAAUGCAUGAAUGAUAAAUUUCAUUAUUCAUUGAAACGAAAUCAGAGCAAUCACAAAACAAAGAAUUUAUACCAAAAAUUUCAUUAUUCAUCAAAAUAAAAUUAGAGCACUCAGAACGAGGAGAACCAUAACGAUGCAAGGCGGACAAAAAAAAAUCCUAUACAAACUAGAAUAGGGUGACUAUGUUUCACUGAUUCAAGACUUCACCUUGCAAACCUUGUCCUUCUUUUUCUAAAAUUAACCAGAAAAUGAGAAAAUUAUUAUCCAC
rnacentral:lncRNA from 1 species